GCCGUGAAGGACCGGGGUAAGGCACAUUUGGGGAAUCGAGCCUAGGGCCCCUUAAAUUGAAGCCAACCCGAGGUUUUUCCAGGCGGAGGCAAAUCAUCCCAACUGGGCCAGGUCGCUAUGAGGAUUACAUAUGAGAAUGAGUGUAAAAUGCCCAGCAUAGUUCCUGGCACAAGACAAGCACCCCGUAAGUGCAGCUAUGAAGAAAAACGACCAGACCCCUACUGUGGACAACUCUGGUAGGCUGAGGCUCUACCCUCUUUCUGGCAGCUGGAGAAGGACAUUCAUCCUCCCUCCCACUUCUUCACAGCCCAGGGGUAGGCAGUU